rnacentral:rRNA from 1 species
AAUGAACGUUGGCGGCGUGGAUUAGGCAUGCAAGUCGAGCGCUCAUAGCAAUAUGGGAGCGGCGAACGGCGUAGGAAUUCAUAGGAACGUACCCUCAGGUCGGGGAUAGCUACGGGAAACUGUAGGUAAUACCCGAUGAUCUCUGCGGAGCAAAGGUGUGAUUCCGCCUGAGGAGCGGCUUAUGUGAUAUUAGCUAGUUGGUGGGGUAAUGGCUUACCAAGGCGAAGAUGUCUAGGGGGUGUGAGAGCAUGGCCCCCACGACCGGAACUGAGAUACUGUCCGGACACCUACGGGUGGCUGCAGUCGAGAAUCUUCCGCAAUGGACGAAAGUCUGACGGAGCGACGCCGCGUGCGGGAUGAAGGCCCUUGGGUUGUAAACCGCUUUCGGAGGGGAUGAAAUCCUCGAGGGUACUCCCUCGAGGUUGACAGAGCCUCAAAAGAAGCACGGGCUAAGUACGUG